GACCUACUGCGUGCCCGGUGCGGUGUGGGUGAGUGGGAUGGGGACGGGAAUACUGGCAACCAGGAGGACCCCGAGAGAGAGGCAGCUUUAGGGGGUCCUUGAAGGGGUGUGAUCAUGGGAUAUGCAAGCUCAGGGGUGGAGGAGGCGUGGGCCUUGGUGGGGAGGGGGCGAUCUGGCCUGUGGAGAGGUGCUUGCGCCAGGCAGAGGGAUAGAUGCGAUGGAGGCAGGGACAUGGCUUGCAGGGGUCAAGGACUGGAGGGGUAGGGAGGGACCCUGAAGUUCCAGGUCAGUCUAGUGCCCUGCAGAGCCUGCCUGGUGCAAGAUGAGGCCCCCACACUCAGCAGUGUGACCUGGCAAAGGUAGCCUUUGUGAGCCAUGGUGUCCUUGGUGUCCUCAUGGGUAGGUGGAACUGUAGCUGGCAGUUGGAAGGAUUUCUAAGACAUGUGAAUGAAAUUGUGCCUUUCCCUUCUGGAAGGAGAAGGAAGUCAACUUGUGAGGCUUCUGUGGACACUAGGAACACAGCCAAACAGAGUUCAACAGGAUUGCUGAGUCGGUAAUAGGUGCCUGGCCUAGCUGGCCGUCUAUUUCUGGAAUGCACAUCCCCUUAUAGGCUGGGUCUGCAGUAAGGCCAGGAGCUCAACUCUUUAAAUUCUUUUAAAGAAUUCUUACACAGUACAACAGAGGGAAAUUACUGAACUGACUGCUUCAGCAUGGGCACGCACAGACAAAGACACACAUUUGACGACACUCCCUCCCUCACAGGUUCACACAACUGCCCAGGUUAUCUUUUUUUUUUUUUUUUUUAAGAUUUUAUUUAUUUGACAGAGAAAGAUCACAAGUAGGCAGAGAGGCAGGCAGAGAGAAAGAGAGGAGGAAGCAGGCUCCCUGCAGAGCAUAGAGCUUGACAUGGGGCUCAAUCCCAGGACCCUGGGAUCAUGACCUGAGCCGAAGGCAGAGGCUUUAACCUACUGAGCCACCCAGGCGCCCCAUGCCCAGGUUAUCUUCAAUCAGAAUUCCUUGAUUUGCAACUCAAUGUUGGUUGGGUAUGGGAUUCUAGGCUUAAGAGUAGAGACCUAUCAGGGUCUGAGAGGUGGGACCCCAGGACUGCUCUGGCAGAGACCUAGGCAAAACUUCAGGCACCAGAGAGUCCCACUGUCGGCGAUAGAGCACAGAGCAGAGAAACGUGCCUAAAGUCACACAACUUGUGGGUUGGGCUUUGUGAGAUUUUGACCCUGAUGAGUCACUAGAGUGUUGAAAAUGCCCUGGUAAAUCAUUCUCAUGACUCAGUAUCACCACCUAUAAAUUAGGAGCAAGGACAUGGGCUGUAGAGCUUCCCUUAGGGUAGAUGCAGUCUUAAAUAGCUCCUCCCACCUUGAGACAGCUGGUGGGUGGGAAUGUCAUUUUUGUGGGAUGGUGUGGGUGCCACCUUCCAGUGAGUUCAGUGCCCUGGCAUGGCUGAAGCAACACGGAGGAGCCAGGAGAAGCCUGUUAGGGAGGGUGGUACCCCCACUAAAGGGAGGGGAGGAAGAAGGCUAGAGAGGUGUGGCAGGUUUGGUAGAGAGGGACAUCAUGACCCUGGGGUUCACAGUGUCCUCUUCCUGGGGACAGAGCAUGGCUGUCUGAAUGCCUGGAUGCUGACCAGGACGGGGGAAGCUUCCCUUUGUAUCAAACGUGGACUCGGGUUUAGGACGUGGUUUGAUCAAUGGCGUCAUCAGGGCUGCCCCACAUGCAUUGCAUGCAGGUGUGCACUUUCUUCCCACCUGAAUGCUGCAGUCAGCCAAACCCUGCUGACCCUGGCUGCCGCCUCAUUUCCUUCUCCAAGUGCACCCAGCUCUGACGAAAGCCUCCUUCUUGGAGCUCUUCCAAAGGGCUUUACAGAACGCCAGGCUGAGCGGCCUUUGCUUAUGUCAGCUCUUAAAUGUCACUGAAACAGCCCAGGGAACCCUAGAGACAGCCCUGGCUUGUGAGACCCCUCUUCAUUCUGGCGUGCUGUUGUCUUCCCACCUCUUUGUCCCGUCGGCCUUAUGGUCCCCCUCUUCUCAGCAAGCUCAUUUAUCUUUUCACCUAUAAUUAAACACCCUCCUAUACACACCUAGACUGUUCUCUCCAUCUCGGUCAGUCCUUCCCAUCCUCAAGGGCUUGCGCAAGCUCCGUCUUCGGUCCUUCCCGACAGCCCCAGCCUGGCUCUGGGAACCAACAGCAUUCGGAGUGCCUCCACACACUUGGAUGCGAUCGUGAGGUACCUGCCAUUGCUCCGCGUUUAUGAAUUUAAUUUUUCCUUUGGCAUGUAGGUUUCCUGGUGGCAGAGAGGCUCCCAGAUAUGUCUUCGUACCCCACGGCCCUGAAAGUGAUGCUGAAUGAGUUUCGGGCUCUCACAGAAUACUUCUGGGUAUAACUGGCAGGCUGUAUUCCUUUCUUUCUCCCUGUGCUGGGGCUCGGGGCCGUGGCCAGUUAGGAAGAUGAGGCAGGGUCUUGGUAAGAUGGAAGAAAGGGGUAUACCAACACGCCAGGGCCUUGCUAAGGGAAAGCAGUCCGCUUUAACAGCACUUUCAUUAUCUUUCCAGUAUAACAGCCUCCUCCUCUCAAAACUUAGUGACUUAAACCCAACCAUUUGCUCAUGAAGGGAAGCCAGCCAGGCUGGGCUCCGGCAGCGCUUUGGGGGCCCAUUCUUGCCUGGGGUUGCUUGUGUGUUUGCUGUGGGCUGGGAGCCCGUCUGCGCCGUUCCAAAUGGCCUCCCUCACAGGGCUGCAGUCAGUGCCCUCAGGGGCAGCUCCUCCGUUCUCCAUGGAUUCCCUCAUUCUCUCCGUGGCCGGGCUGACUCUUCACAGCAUGGCUGCUUCCUUCUGAGAGGCCUUUCUUGCCAAGGCCUAGGAGUCACUCGGUGUCACUUCUGCAUUCUACUGACUAAAAAACAGGGCCAGCCAAGACUCUGAGGGGACAUGGACCCCAUCUCUUAAUAGGAGGACUGGCGAGAGUCACACCACAAAAAGAUUCUGGAGAAGAGAGCCUGGAUUUGGAUCUCAGCUUGAUGACCUUAGGACCAUGAACUAGGAGACAUAACAUCAUCUGGGCAUUCAGAAAAGGAAGGGUUCUUGGAAGAAGAGACACCUCAUCAGAGCCUUGAAGAAUUCUGAGGAGGAAGAGCUAGUAAAGGAACAAGGUGGGGGCGUGGGGGAGGAGCAGAAGGAAAAGAUGUUCUGGAGUGGAAAGAUGAGCAUGUAUGACUGGCUGAGAGCAAACUACCAUGUGGAGUGCUUGAGGAACGGAGCCUCGGAGUGGCUGAAGAUGGUGUGAGGUGCAGAGAAGCACGCGAUUCAACACUGAUCUUUUGCUCUUGGUGGAGCAGCUUACAGAGUUGGGAGAGAGGCCAGUAGAGUGAACUCUGUUGGUCUGGUGAGAUCAUGCCCACCAGGCUUCUCUCUGCAUUCCAGUGGUUACUAUGGAAACAUUAGAUCAUAGACCAAGAAGCAUCCAGUUAGCACCUCUUAUAAAAGAUGAUGACAAGGAUGAGAUGGGAAAGUGAUUUACUGACUUUCCUUUUGGCAGCAGGCUAAAAUAGAUAACAUAAAAUUUACCAUUCUAGACAUUUGAAGUGUAUGGUCAUGUGGCAGUAGGUACAUUCAUAAAAUUGUGCAGCCAACACCAACACCCAUCUCCAGAAAUUUCUCAGCAUUCUCAUAAACUGAAACUCUAUACUCUAAUAUUACAGUAACUCCCAUUUCUCCCUUCUAUCCCCAGACCCUGGUAACUACUAUUCUACUUUCUGUCUCUAGGAAUUUGACGACUCUAAGUCCGUGGAACCUCCAUACAUAUAUAGUGGAAUCAUCCAAUAUUUGUCCUUUUAUGCCUGGCUUAUUUCACUUAGCAUGAUGUCUUCAAGGUUCAUCCAUGUUGUGGCAUGUGACAGCAUUUCCUUCCUUUGUAUAGCCGCAUAAUAUUCCACUGUACUUGUAGACCGCGUUUUGUUUAUCCAGUCAUCUGUUGAUGGACACUUGGGUUCUUUCCACCUUUUGGCUAUUGUAAAUAAUGCUGCUAUAAAAAUGGGUGUAUUGGAAACCAUCUCUGUAGACACGUAUUUAGCAAAGAAGACAGACUUCUGGCUGACGAGUUUCAAGAAAAAGGGAAGGAAAAUAGGGAGAAAAGAGUGUUUUCCCUAAAAGUCAACUCUAAGUACUCCUUGUGCCUGAAUAAUUUAUAAGCUUAUUCAAGGCAAUGCUCUCCUUUGUUGUUGUCCUGAGUGUGGUCUGUCAAGACUGCAAGUGGGUCCAUCUUGAGUUAGCAUGACAGACAGAUCAGACUACCUUUCUCUUCAAGGGACGGAUAUGCCUGGGGAAUUCUUUGGGCUUCUUGGGAGACUGCCAGAAGCUCAGCUGGAUUGUUCCACCAUCUACAAGAAUAUAGGCUCCAUGAUGGCAAGAUCUUGUCUAUUCUCUCUGUUUUAUUAACUAGUGACUCUCCAGCACCUGGCAUUCAAAAUUUGUCAAAUGAACGAAUGUGUCUUCCAAUGAUCGGACCCUGUGUGUGCUCCUAGGAAAAGUCUUAUCUCAGGAAAAGUAGAGGCCACUCAACUAGAAGCAGAUUCAGGACUUUACCCAGGCUCUCAUGCCAUCUGAUGUGCGAUGAGGCUUGUCCCUUGUACUUCCUGCUUUCUUGUUGCUUUGCUGAUGGAAAAGACACCUGCUUGGACUGACCUUACCAGGUGUCAUGAACAUCAAGGGGCUCAUAUAAAUAAAAGUGCUGUACAAAUGAAUGCCA